AGAGUUUGAUCCUGGCUCAGAACGAACGCUGGCGGCGUGCUUAACACAUGCAAGUCGAACGUGAUUGAGAGCUUGCUCUCAUGAAAGUGGCGCACGGGUGAGUAACACGUGGAUAAUCUGCCUGGCGAUUCGGGAUAACACUUCGAAAGGGGUGCUAAUACCGGAUAAGCCCACGGUUUCUUUGGAAUCUGCGGGAAAAGGGGGGGACCUUCGGGCCUUCUGUCAUCAGAUGAGUCUGCGUACCAUUAGCUAGUUGGUGGGGUAAUGGCCUACCAAGGCUACGAUGGUUAGCUGGUCUGAGAGGAUGAUCAGCCACACUGGAACUGAGACACGGUCCAGACUCCUACGGGAGGCAGCAGUGGGGAAUUUUGCGCAAUGGGGGAAACCCUGACGCAGCAACGCCGCGUGAGUGAUGAAGGCUUUCGGGUCGUAAAGCUCUGUCAGAGGGGAAGAAAUGAAACGUGCUAAUAUCACGUUUUCUUGACGGUACCCUCAAAGGAAGCACCGGCUAACUCCGUGCCAGCAGCCGCGGUAAUAC
rnacentral:rRNA from 2 species